GGGUCAUUAGGUUGGUCGUGCCACCGGUACGUACUGGUCUCACUGAUUCCUCCUUCCUGAAGGACCGUAAUGCCAUUAAUUUGGUGUUGCGGGGAAACAGGACUGUUACUUUGAAAAAAUUAGAGUGUUUAAAGCAAGCUAACGCUUGAAUACAUUAGCACGGAAUAAUGAAAUAGGACGAUCGAUCCUAUUUUGUUGGUUUCUAGGAUUGACGUA
rnacentral:rRNA from 1 species